rnacentral:lncRNA from 1 species
GAAAACACGCUGUACAGAGGACGAGAUUUUGGAUUGAGGUUGAAGCCUUGAACAACAUUUCUAUCUUUUGGGUUUUAUUCUUUUCUCCUAAUUUCAUGUUCUUGACUAUGUAUAAUUAAAUCUUUUUCUAGGGUUUAUGGUGAAUCUUGCAAUUAAAAUUUCUUUUGCUAUGUCUUAGCUUAUAUGUUCCAGUUUCUAAUUUGAAUUUCGAUAUUUUGUUCAAUUAAUGUUAUCCUAUUGAUUUUAUCACAUGAUUAGGAAUGAUCAACCUAUGAAUGUUAAUAAUCAAUUGAUUGAUCAACGAUCGUACUGCAGUUAAUUGGUGGACCUAUAGGAUAAAUGAGAUUUAGAUUAUUGCAUGACCAAACCUUAAUCUUUGUCUUCCAAUCAUUCAACCUUUUUGUACUUUAUGCUUUUCUUGAAUUUCAAUUCUUUGCAUGACCAAACAAAGGUUAAUUUAGGAAAAAGAAUAUUAAUCACGAAUGACCAAACGGGUUAAUAGUUUUCGUAAAGGGAUUGGUAAUUGAGUUAAAAUAAAGGGAUUCGAGUGGAACUAGACAUAGGGAAUCAAUGAUUGCGAGUGAAACCAUGACCCUAGGCCUCUCUAUUUUGAAUCACAACUUUUACUUUUGUUUGUGUUCGUUCGUAUUUUCUAUUUACUUAUUUAGUUACCAAAAACAAAUGAAAUCAUCGAUUAAUCUAAAUAAUAAAUAAUCUUAAAUAGUUUGGUAAUUGUUAAUUAAUCCCUGUGGAUAUGAUAAUCUUUUAUACUACUUCUGCGCUAGAGUACACUUGCUCUAAGUGUGUUUUUAACGCAACA